rnacentral:rRNA from 1 species
AUACGGAGGGUGCAAGCGUUGUUCGGAAUUAUUGGGCGUAAAGCGCGUGUAGGCGGUUUGAUAAGUCUGAUGUGAAAGCCCCGGGCUCAACCUGGGAAGUGCAUUGGAGACUGUCAGACUUGAAUACGGGAGAGGGUAGUGGAAUUCCUAGUGUAGGAGUGAAAUCCGUAGAUAUUAGGAGGAACACCGGUGGCGAAGGCGGCUCUCUGGACCGAUACUGACGCUGAGACGCGAAAGCGUGGGUAGC